rnacentral:rRNA from 1 species
CACGUAGGGGGCGAGCGUUGUCCGGAUUUAUUGGGCGUAAAGAGCUCGUAGGCGGCUCAGUAAGUCGGGUGUGAAAACUCCAGGCUCAACCGUGGAGACGCCACCCGAUACUGCUGUGGCUAGAGUCCGGUAGGGGAGCAUGGAAUUCCUGGUGUAGCGGUGAAAUGCGCAGAUAUCAGGAGGAACACCAGUGGCGAAGGCGGUGCUCUGGGCCGGAACUGACGCUGAGGAGCGAAAGCAUGGGGAGCGAACAGG